GUCGAGCGAACGGACGAGAAGCUUGCUUCUCUGAUGUUAGCGGCGGACGGGUGAGUAACACGUGGAUAACCUACCUAUAAGACUGGGAUAACUUCGGGAAACCGGAGCUAAUACCGGAUAAUAUUUUGAACCGCAUGGUUCAAAAGUGAAAGACGGUCUUGCUGUCACUUAUAGAUGGAUCCGCGCUGCAUUAGCUAGUUGGUAAGGUAACGGCUUACCAAGGCAACGAUGCAUAGCCGACCUGAGAGGGUGAUCGGCCACACUGGAACUGAGACACGGUCCAGACUCCUACGGGAGGCAGCAGUAGGGAAUCUUCCGCAAUGGGCGAAAGCCUGACGGAGCAACGCCGCGUGAGUGAUGAAGGUCUUCGGAUCGUAAAACUCUGUUAUUAGGGAAGAACAUAUGUGUAAGUAACUGUGCACAUCUUGACGGUACCUAAUCAGAAAGCCACGGCUAACUACGUGCCAGCAGCCGCGGUAAUACGUAGGUGGCAAGCGUUAUCCGGAAUUAUUGGGCGUAAAGCACGCGUAGGCGGUUUUUUAAGUCUGAUGUGAAAGCCCACGGCUCAACUGUGGAGGGUCAUUGGAAACUGGAAAACUUGAGUGCAGAAGAGGAAAGUGGAAUUCCAUGUGUAGCGGUGA
rnacentral:rRNA from 1 species